AGACAGGCAUCUGAUAGGACAGGAGUGAGCACAGAUGAGAUCUAGUCCCGCCCUCACUUCCUGGACUUUGUCCCACUGUUCUUCAGCUGGGACUAAGAUGAUGAUGCAGCUGGACAGGUAAAGUGACUUGCUCGAUUACCUGUAAUUUUAGUUGGGAGAUGGAGUGACCUUUCUCUUUGAAAUGGAAUGGAACAGGUAUCAGAUAUACUGAAGCCAUUUAAAGAAGUUGCAAAAAUUCUCAUAGCCUUUAAGUGACAUUAACCCAAAAUGCGUGGGCAUGACCAAUGUUGUUUUAGAAGAUGAUUGGAAUAGCUUGAACGCAUUUUAUGGAGCUAAUCGAGAAUAAUGGAAAAACGGUCUUAGAGGUGCUGCACAAAAGAGGUCACAAAUGGAGAGACUCGAGCCAGCACAGGAAAUUACAUUUAUUUUUUACAAUGGACGACACGUUUCGGCACACAGAGUGCCUUCCUCAGGAUGCACUUAUGGAGUUCCUGUGUAGUUCAGUGCUGGCAUUGAUCCCUUUUAUGGAGCUGGAAGUCUUAGACUGGGUGCAUUAAAAAAUACUAUAGAGGUAUA